CAGGAACAAAGACUGAGCUGCUCACUGAAGCCUCUUAAAACUCAAAAGGUUUUUCUGGAUAACAUACGAGAAUAAAGCUGCUGUGUGGCUUCAGACAAAACAAAAUGAGGAAAUGCACUACUCUCCUUGUCAAAGAACUGAGAUUCAAAAGUUGCUAUUUCUACUUUCUGAGAGGAGACCUGAGGAGUCCCAGGCUUUACAAAAUGGAGUGAUUCACAGCAGAAGCCACAACAGAGACCACAAUAUGAGAAAGAGCAAAAGAGGAGGAAAGGCAAUGCGAAGGGGAGAAAAAAGGGAAAGAGAUGGUGAGCUCACACCAAGGACAGAUGAAAUAAAUACUUUUCAUUGAAACUGAAGAGUGGUUUCUUGGGGCAUGUGGUUUUAUACAUUUUGCAUCCUAUUAAUUUUGAUGGAGAAAUAUUAAAACUGCAAGAGUGCUGAAGAUGAAUUAACUCACCAAUUACAUGUAUGCAACAG
ensembl:lncRNA